GGGGAUAUGGCGGAAUGGUAGACGCUGCGGACUUAAAAUCCGUUGAUUAUUGCAAUCGUGAGGGUUCAAGUCCCUCUAUCCCCA
rnacentral:tRNA from 2 species